AAACAAGGAGCUGGUAUCAGGCACAAUUAAUAUUAGCCCAAGACACCUUGCUUAGCCACACCCUCAAGGGACCUCAGCAGUGAUAAACAUUAAGCCAUAAGUGAAAACUUGACUUAGCCAAGGCUAAGAGGGCCGGUAAAACUCGUGCCAGCCACCGCGGUUAUACGAGAGGCCCAAGCUGAUAGACACCGGCGUAAAGCGUGGUUAGGAGAAUUAACAUGAUUAAAGCCGAAUGCUUUCAAAGCUGUUAUACGCAUACGAAAGCUAGAAGUACAACUACGAAGGUGGCUUUACAAUUUCUGAACCCACGAAAGCUAAGGCACAAACUGGGAUUAGAUACCCCACUAUGCCUAGCCCUAAACAUUGAUAGUUAAUUACAUUUCUAUCCGCCUGGGGACUACGAGCAUAAGCUUAAAACCCAAAGGACUUGGCGGUGCUUUAGAUCCACCUAGAGGAGCCUGUUCUAGAACCGAUAACCCCCGUUAAACCUCACCUUUUCUUGUUCUACCC
rnacentral:rRNA from 1 species